ACAAAAAAAAGCGAGCUGCAGCAUAGAACAACACGCUGAGCAAAUGAGAGAAGAAAAAAAAGCUAAAAAAAAAAGAAGUAGAAAGCUGGAGAGAUGUAAAAGGAAUAAUAAAAAAAGAAUCUCUCCCCGCGUCCCCCUUUACUCCGCGUGUUUACGAGAGAGAGAUCGUUCAUCUAAGCUGCACGGCUCUCGAAAGCAUCAUUUUGAUGGUGAUUUCUGUGCGGUGCGGUCCUUAUCUCAGUUUUGUCUCUGAUGUUUUGAAACAUGGGUGAUGUUACUGCUGUGGGGGCCCUAUCAGGCCCCACCCCCAGGACAAAUGCCCGAUGGCCAGUACGGUCAGUAAAAAGAUGUUUGUUUGGGAUACCCGAUCCCGAAGAACUGCGGACUCAUCUCGAGAAAGAGACACUACAACAGUAUGAAAAAAAUAAGCAAAAAUGGAACUUUGAUUUCGUGGCAGAAAUGCCAUUGGACUGUGGUCAGUAUUCCUGGAAAAAAAUUCGAAGGGAUGAUGACCUAUCGGAUAAGAGCGGAUCUACCACCGAAACUAGUAGUUGUGAGGAUAUAGUUGUGGAGCAAAAACUCAUAACGGAUUACAUGCGGAAGCGGAAGCUGUCGACUAAUCAGGCGACAACGUCAAAGGGCGAAUCAAAGGCGAAACGACGUUUUUCCACGUGAAUCAUGCAUCUCACUCCUAUAAACCAGAAAUCUUUCAGUAGAAACUGUAGAUGAAUCUACAUAAAGCGGAUGUUACGCAAACGAGAGAAGAAAAAAUUGCAAUGGAAAUUGUUUCCAUUUUAUUUAUUAAUUUAAUAUAUUAUUUGUUCACCUUUCAUUUUUCUCACCCUUUUUCUGAUGACGUAUUUCAUGCAUCCGGUUAUGUUUUGCGAGCACUGAGAACGUAAGCACAGGUCGACCUUUGAAAUUUUUAUUCCUUCCUUAGUUUUAAAUUAAUGUGAACUUUUUUACAAUUAGUUUGUUUGUUUUUUCACUUGCUAUAUCAUUUGUAUCUGUAACUUUGUAAAAAAACAUAAUUGUACACUUUGUAUUUGUCAUUUUUAAGGUUUUGUUAAAUAAAUGUAAGAUCAGGCCUUUAAAAUGUAAGAUAAAAAAUUUAAUGUCUGAUUUGAUAUUUGCAUGUUGUAAAAUAUUUUAAUUUUUCUGAACGAAAUAUUUGUUUUCAUUACAUGUAUUAUAAUAUUAUCUGACGGCAUAUGUGUUAAAAGUAUGAAACAUGCAUAAUUUUGUUUUUAAUUAAAUGUAUAAUAAUAUUUGUUUUUUUGUUGAAGCUAAAUGGCGCAUUUUAAAAUCAGGAUUAGGUAUAAAUAAUAUGGUUUUAGGUAUAAAUAACAUAAUAUUGACAUAAUAAAACUGAUAACCUUUGGCGUUAAGCAGAGCUACAACUCGUUAACUGACAUUUUAUGCAGAUCCUUGCACAAAAAUGUUUUAGGUAUGCUCAUAUCUUAUUAGGUUCAUCACAAUUAUUGUGUCCAAGAUGUACCAAACGUAAAUUUCAUUAAAUUCAAGUCUGGUGAAUGACGUGGCCAUUUUUGUAAUUUAAGAAAAUCGAGAAAAUGUAUAUUUGAUGCCUUUCGCUUUAUGGGCUGGAGCGGAAUCUUAUUAGAAAGUCAAUGAUUGAUUUUAAUGACCAAAAAAGCGCUACAUAUCUCAAAUGAGUUUGCGAUUUUAAAAAAAAUCGACUUUAAUCUUUAUCUAAGUAAUUUCUUACUGCCCUGUAAAAAUAAAUUGUAAAAGAUUUUCAAAUAAAACAUGAAUAGUUCUAUUCUAAUUUGAAAAAUUAAGAAUAUCCUGAAUAUUAAAAACAAAAUCUAGGUCAAAACAAUGUUUGAUCAACUUCUUAACAUUACAAGCAAAUGAUAAUUACAAGCAAACGAUAAUUAUAAGCAGACGAUAAUUAUAAGCAAACGAUAAUUACAAGCAAACGAUAUAAGUAUUUCUAUUAUUGGAAGACUAUUUUUUUUUCUCUUAUGUUUAGCAAAUAGAAAAUUAAAUGUGUUUGCUUCUAAUUUAAUAUAAUCGGAAUACUAUAAUUUAAUAGCAUUGUUAUUAAAAAUAAAAAUCGGCGCCAUUUAGCUUCGUUUUAUGGUGAAAGGAAUAAUUUACAAUUAACUUAUAGCCCAAUUUUAACAUCAGGAACCAAGUUUCUUCAUGGAAAGUUGUGUAUGAAUGACAAGAAAAGCCCAAAAUUCUUUCAGUCAUUUUUACGUUGCUUUCGUCAGUAAAACUUAUGACCUGGCUGUAUGAUUGGGCUGUGUUUGUAAUUAGUUAGAAUUAUUAUGAAUUAACAUUUAAAGUAUGUUUAUGGAUAAAACUAUCGGGGCAAGUGCAAAUGCAGUCUGAGCAAAUCAAAGCUAAGGGACAGCAGUGCAAUGAAAACAAAAGGGACUUUGGAUUAUGCCCGCUGAAUAAUUGGCUAACCGUCCUAACUCUUCCUCAGUAAUGAGGGAUUAACCUAUAGGCUAUGGAAUUAGGUCUAAAUUAUCUAGGUUGUAUGCAUAGUUUGCACUCAAUAAUUUUUUACAUAAAAGUAAUUUUGUUGCAUUAAAUAUAAAAACACUGAUAUAAAUAAAAAAAGGAAUGGUUAAAACUACCAAAAUAUGGUAAAAUUUGGCAUGUUUCUGGCUCUUUUG
rnacentral:lncRNA from 1 species